UGGGGAAUAUUGCACAAUGGGCGCAAGCCUGAUGCAGCCAUGCCGCGUGUAUGAAGAAGGCCUUCGGGUUGUAAAGUACUUUCAGCGGGGAGGAAGGGAGUAAAGUUAAUACCUUUGCUCAUUGACGUUACCCGCAGAAGAAGCACCGGCUAACUCCGUGCCAGCAGCCGCGGUAAUACGGAGGGUGCAAGCGUUAAUCGGAAUUACUGGGCGUAAAGCGCAUGCAGGCGGUUUGUUAAGUCAGAUGUGAAAUCCCCGGGCUCAACCUGGGAACUGCAUCUGAUACUGGCAAGCUUGAGUCUCGUAGAGGGGGGUAGAAUUCCAGGUGUAGCGGUGAAAUGCGUAGAGAUCUGGAGGAAUACCGGUGGCGAAGGCGGCCCCCUGGACGAAGACUGACGCUCAGGUGCGAAAGCGUGGGGAGCAAACAGG
rnacentral:rRNA from 1 species